rnacentral:rRNA from 1 species
UUAAUUAGACGACAAGACCCUUUUGAACUUUACUAUUGUUUAGCUGGGGUAGCUAUAAAAUAUUAAUCUUCUUAAUUUUAUUUAUAUAAAUGACCCAAUUCAAUUGAUUAUUUGAACAAGUUACCAUAGGGAUAACAGCGUAAUAUUUUUUAAAAGUUCUUAUUUAAAAAAAUGAUUGCGACCUCGAUGUUGAAUUAAUGUAACUUUAUUGAUGAAGUAAUCAUAAAAGUUGGUCUGUUCGACCAUUAAAACAUUACGUGAUCUGAGUUCAAAC